rnacentral:rRNA from 1 species
GUGGGGAAUCUUAGACAAUGGGCGCAAGCCUGAUCUAGCCAUGCCGCGUGAGUGAUGAAGGCCCUAGGGUUGUAAAGCUCUUUCAGCUGGGAAGAUAAUGACGGUACCAGCAGAAGAAGCCCCGGCUAACUCCGUGCCAGCAGCCGCAGUAAUACGGAGGGGGCUAGCGUUGUUCGGAAUUACUGGGCGUAAAGCGCGCGUAGGCGGACUGAAAAGUUGGGGGUGAAAUCCCGGGGCUCAACCUCGGAACUGCCUUCAAAACUAUCAGUCUGGAGUUCGAGAGAGGUGAGUGGAAUUCCGAGUGUAGAGGUGAAAUUCGUAGAUAUUCGGAGGAACACCAGUGGCGAAGGCGGCUCACUGGCUCGAUACUGACGCUGAGGUGCGAAAGCGUGGGGAGCAAACAGGAUUAGAAACCCGGGUAGUCC